CCGACGGGAGGCAACAACACGAACCAGGUUCAGAUGAUAUUACAGCGUACAAAACGAACUUUCAGAGAGAUCUGCUUGGGUAGUAACGGAUUGGAGGUACAGGAUCAGGAUACAAAAAAGACCCGGCUUUAAUUGUGUGAUUGAGAAAGUGUAGCAUCGCUCCAUGAAAGACAGUUUGCCUCAAAUGGCUGCUCUCCGGCUGACACCAGAGGGACCCCUUAUAGCCCGCUGUGUGCAGCAGGAAGGCGGGGUGCUGGGAUCGUGAGGAAUGAACGGCAAGUGAAAAUAUGAUUGAGGCCCCUUUAAAAGUUGUUGGCCACUAAACUGCAGCGACACCAGCGUCGGUGCGUAAAGAGCAUCCCUCCUGGAUUCCUUCUGAUGUUCCUCCAGGCUGCUGCUGAUUGGACACCACAUGCUUUAAAUAUGUGCGAUUACAAGUCUUUUUUUUUUUUUUUUUAAAGGGACCUGCAUAUAAAAUCUAUCUAGUGUAAAAUAAAAACAAAAUUACAUUUGAUUAAAGAAAAAA